UGGGGAAUAUUGCACAAUGGGCGCAAGCCUGAUGCAGCCAUGCCGCGUGUGUGAAGAAGGCCUUCGGGUUGUAAAGCACUUUCAGCGAGGAGGAAGGUGGUGAACUUAAUACGUUCAUCAAUUGACGUUACUCGCAGAAGAAGCACCGGCUAACUCCGUGCCAGCAGCCGUGGUAAUACGGAGGGUGCAAGCGUUAAUCGGAAUUACUGGGCGUAAAGCGCACGCAGGCGGUUUGUUAAGUCAGAUGUGAAAUCCCCGGGCUCAACCUGGGAACUGCAUUUGAAACUGGCAAGCUAGAGUCUCGUAGAGGGGGGUAGAAUUCCAGGUGUAGCGGUGAAAUGCGUAGAGAUCUGGAGGAAUACCGGUGGCGAAGGCGGCCCCCCUGGACGAAGACUGACGCUCAGGUGCGAAAGCGUGGGGAGCAAACAGGAUUAGAUACCCUGGUAGUCCACGCUGUAAAACGAUGUCGAUUUUGGAGGUUGUGCCCCUUGAGGCGUGGNUUCCGGAGCUAACG
rnacentral:rRNA from 1 species